GACAGAGGUGGCAAGCGUUGUUCGGAAUUACUGGGCUUAAAGGGCGCGUAGGUGGUGAUAUAAGUCCGAGGUGGAAGACUGGGGCUUAACCUCAGAAUUGCCUUGGAUACUGUAUGACUUGAGUCAGCGAGGGGAUGGCGGAAUUCCAGGUGUAGCGGUGAAAUGCGUAGAUAUCUGGAGGAAGGCCGGUGGCGAAGGCGGCCAUCUGGCGCUGAACUGACACUGAGGCGCGAAAGCGUGGGGAGCAAACAGG
rnacentral:rRNA from 1 species